rnacentral:rRNA from 1 species
GACGAACGCUGGCGGCGUGCUUAACACAUGCCAGUCGAACGGAAAGGCCCUGCUUUUGUGGGGUGCUCGAGUGGCGAACGGGUGAGUAACACGUGAGUAACCUGCCCUUGACUUUGGGAUAACUUCAGGAAACUGGGGAUAAUACCGGAUAGGAGCUCCUGCUGCAUGGUGGGGGAUGGAAAGAUUCGGCGGUUGGGGAUGGAAUCGCGGCUUAUCAGCUUGUUGGUGGGGUAGUGGCUUACCAAGGCUUUGACGGGUAGCCGGCCUGAGAGGGUGGCCGGCCUCAUUGGUACUGAGAUACGGACCAGACGCCUACGGUAGGCAGCAGUGGGGAGUAUUGCACAGUGGGCGGAAGCCUGAUGCAGCAACGCCGCGUGCGGAAUGACGGCCUUCGGGUUGUAAACCGCUUUCGCCUGUGACGAAGCGUGAGUGACGGUAAUGAGUAAAGAAGCACCGGCUAACUACGUG